GACCUUGCGGAUGGCGCAUUUGGGGGAGCGCGGGCAGCCACCAAGCUUGCCCGUUAUACCGCGGCCCGGGUUCAACUCCCGGGCCGGUCA